GGAGGACAGAGGAGCAUGGCAUGUUAUUGUACAUGGGGUCACAAAUAGUCGAACAGGACUAAAGGACUGAACAGGACUGAACGACUGAACUAAACAGGACUAAAGAUCAUCCACUUAGCACUUUUUUGUAUGUUCACUCAUUCUAUAGCAUGUACCAGUAAUCUGUUCUGUUGUAUUGUUCUACUAUGUCCUAUUUUAUAAAUAUGCCACAUUUUGUUUAUAAAUUCACCAGAUGAUGGACAUCUGGCUUCACUCUAUGGCUGUUGUGAAAAUGAUGCUAUGAAUAUCCACAUAAAAUCUCUGGAUGGAUACCUAGGAGUGGAAGUGUUGAUUUGUACGGUGGACACACCUGUUAUCUAAAUUGUGUGAUUUAUCCAGUUAAAGAGGCUUCUUUUUGGAUAUUAUGUCAACUCCUUGAGGGAAAACUUAUUUGAAACACUGAAUAUCUGCAGUUUGUUGAGAAUAGAAAACUCCGGUACUUCAUUGGGAAACCCAGCAAUAAUAAUUAAUAGGAAAAUUGUAUUGGAAAGCCUUAUGAGAAGAAAAGACUUAAAAGAGAGAAAAAGUAAUUCUGGACAAAAUUCUACAUGAAAUAGAAAACUAUUUCCUGGUUCAAAAUUAUAACCCAAAAUAAGCCAGCCAAAACUGAAGGGCCCUUUAAUUCUUAAAAGAUUGGUUGAAUAAUAUGAAAAGCCUUGAAGCAGUAUUUGAAUUCUACCUCAACAAGUGAUCACAUGUGAAAAAGUUAAGACAAGGAGAAAUUGUGUGGAUGUUGUGAAAAUGCCAGUUAUCUAUGAUUAGAAAGAGCAUCUACUGAUUAAGUUAAUGUUCCCCUAAGGAAACGUAUUGCCUACAAAAAGAAAAUAAAAGUCAUGUGAGACAAACAAA